ACAUUACGACCUAAUUAUAUUUUCUUCUUCUCUCUGUUCUUCAUAUCCGUUAUUAAGUUUCUCUGUAGGGUUUUCUUUUUUGAGUUUCAUUCUUCAAGGUGUCUACCAGCUCCGCUCAUCUUCCAAGUUCUCUUUCUGAAUCCACAUCCAAACCCUCAUCAAGGUUUGAUUUACAGGAUAUAUAUUUGGCUGAGCUGAAAUUAGGUUUGGCAAAAUAGGGACGCACAGAUUGUUACCGGAAUUAAUAAAUUAGGUUUUAUGAUAAAGUCUGUUACGAGUUGAAUUCAAUUGGAUUUGAAUCUAUAAUGGCCAGCAAGCCUCUGUCUUCACCAGUGCACCUUUCAUAGAAAUUGCCAACUAGUUACAAGGAAAAGCUCUGCUCGAGAAUAUGUGAAUUGAAGGAUUAAUCAAAGGACUAGAAGUGAAAAGGGUGACAAGACUAUGUUCCUAUGACUGGAAGUGAAUGGAGUACAGUUCCCUAUAGAUGCUUACGUCCUUGUAGACACUGUUGUUAAAGCUGAUAAUGGAGCCAGGUUCUUCAAUUAUAUCAGACAUCCUCAUAAAAAUGUAUCAGACAAUAAGUCGAUACCAUACAUGGCUUCCUUCUCAUCAGGAGGUCUAAUUGGUCUUGAGCUUAAAUUUUUCAUUGAACUAUUUAGCAGUUAUGAACUACUUUUCAAUUAUCCCUCUCAUUGUUGCUAUUGAUUUGCAGCCAAUGGCUCUAAUGGAUUAUGUUUUUCAAUUGCAAGGUGAUAUUGCAAAUGCUUGAACAGCUGUAAGAUGUUGGCAGGGUGUCUUUGUUGAAUGUGACCUCAGUAUGAGAGCGAGCAAGGUGGUAGGGAUGAUAUUCUUAGAAGAGGAAGGGAAUAUAGUUGAUCUAGAAGUAGAAGCAAGGUGGUAGGGAUGAUAUUCUUAGAAGAGGAAGGGAAUAUAGUUGAUCUAGAAGUAGAAGUCCAGUGCAUCGAAGAAGUAGACCGAGUCCGGAUAAUGGACUGGAAAACAGUAAAGUUUAUGACAGAUAAGGGACCAUCGAGCAACACCAUGGACGAUAUACCACUCGGUCACCAAUUUGCUGCUAAUUCAAAUGGUUGUUCACCAAUUCGUCGCUCACCUGUUUGUCGUGCCCGUUCCCCAUAGAAAAUUCAAACGUUGAUCGAUUCCCAGCAGGAUGCUCUCAUUUAUUCCCAUUCCCAGCGUUUUUGUUUCAGGGUUUUAGGAAGAAAACCAUAAUCAGAAAAAUGAUGAGGAGGAAUAGAAGAAAAGGAUGUUGGACGGGUUCUGAUGUAUAACUCUGGCGGGUGUUGCGACAGAAUACUUUUUAUUUGGAUACUCGGAAGGUGGCUUAUCUUAUAUUUACCAGUUGGAUAACUUGCUUAAAACCCUGCGGUUUAUACAGAAGAAAGCAAAUUCACAGAACAAUUCUACUUUUGCGUCGGCAUGAAAGAGUUACAUUGGAACUUGCAAAAGUUAUGUCACGUGAACCCACAUUUUGUAGAUUAAUUUAUUAAUGAAUGAGAAUUUAUUGGGUUUGUGGUUUUUGUGAAUUGAAGAAGUGAAGCAAAAAUGUUUGAAUCAGCAAGAUGGAAAAGUGAUUAGAACAAGACUAAAAUUGUCUUUAGAUUACAGUUUCGAGCUACUGAGGAAAGUUCACCCUUUCAUUGAAAUAAGCUACCAGACUAUAUAUACUUCUGUAUUGACAUUCCGGAAGUUCAGAAAUGAUGAUAGUGUAUUCGGAUUAUGUUACCCUACUGUGCAGAAAAGGAAAAACCCCCAUGUCCAUUAUCGGACCCGUGCCGGGUUGUUUUCUUCCAUAUCCUUGCAUGCAUUUUGUUUUCGUAUAUCCUUCCAUACCAAUAUAAUUACGAAGGUCUAUUUAUCUGCAUUCCUAAGGAAAAUAACUUGCUUAUUGUCACAGAAAUACAACACUGAAUUUGUAUUAUCAUGUUUGGCUAUUAUAGGAGUAUGAUUUUUCUGACUA